GGCUGGAUGGCCGAGUGGUCUAAGGCGCUAGAAUCAGGUGUUGUAUCUAGUCCUCCGGGGCGUGGGUUCGAAUCCCACUCCAGUCA